rnacentral:lncRNA from 1 species
AGUCACUGAGGAGUGAGUAGAUGGUGUUCAAGAGGUUCAUUAAUUGUAAAAAAUGUGCCACCCUGGUAGGGACGUUGAUAGUUGGAGGAGGCUGUGCAUAUGUGGAGGGAGGAGGUAUAGGGAAAAUCUCUGUACCCUCUUCUCAAUUUUGCUGUGAACAUAAAGCUGCUCUAAAAAUAAGGUCUAUUUUUACCACCGUGCCCAGCCUCUAUUUUUUUUUUUUUUUAAAUCUCCCUCAACCCAACUUCAUCUUCUAUCUACUUUCUGGAGUCUCUGCUCCACUUUGAAGUCACAAUUUGCAUGGGCUGCUCCUGCUACAUCCACACCAAGUGUGCUGUGAAGACCAAGAAAUCCCUGUUUAGACAAAAUACCAUGGUGUUAGGUGCUGCUGUGCAAAAUAGUUUAAAAUUUGCAAAUAACUGAUACCAGACAUUAAUAACUCAUGACAGAGAUAAAGAGAAACAGGUUAACCUUCAUUAGCAUGAAUUCUGCAAAGGAUCCAUCUGAGAUGAGGAAGAAACCUCGUCCCCUCUCCAUGCCCCUUCAGAAUGGAAGGC